rnacentral:rRNA from 1 species
UCGAGAAUUUUUCUCAAUGGGCGAAAGCCUGAAGGAGCGACGCCGCGUGGGGGAUGAAUGGCUUCGGCCCGUAAACCCCUGUCAUUCGGGAUCAAUGCCUGUUUUUUAAUACGAGGCAGGUUGAUAGUACCGGAAGAGGAAGGGACGGCUAACUCUGUGCCAGCAGCCGCGGUAAUACAGAGGUCCCAAGCGUUGUUCGGAUUCACUGGGCGUAAAGGGUGCGUAGGUGGUUGGGUAAGUUUGGUGUGAAAUCUCCGAGCUUAACUCGGAAACUGCAUUGAAUACUAUUCGACUAGAGGGUUGGAGGGGGGACUGGAAUACUUGGUGUAGCAGUGAAAUGCGUAGAUAUCAAGUGGAACACCAGUGGCGAAGGCGAGUCCCUGGACAACUCCUGACACUGAGGCACGAAAGCUAGGGGAGCAAACAG